GGGGCAUGUGUCUAUAAUCUCAGAAUUCUGGGAGGCUGAGGCAGGAGGAUUCCAAAUUUGAGUUCAACCUGGAAACUUAUCAAGACCCUGUCUCAAAAUAAAAUAGGGAUGGCAAUGUAGCUUAGUGCCAAGGCCCUGGGUUUAAUCCGCAAUACUUAAAAAAACAUCUGGAGGACAAGUAUAUAGCUGUGAUACAACAAUAUGUUCUUAUGUGGUAAUAGGAUACUACUUGAAUUCUGACUCGGCCUCUCCCUACUAACCACUUAGUCUAGGACAUACCUCCCUUAGAAAAAAGAAAAGUAUCAUGGAUCCACUUUCACUCAUUUGUGCCUUUAUAACGUCUUUAAUAUCUGUAUUUCUUUUUUUCUAGUGUAAUAGUUAAAGUGAAAUCAACCCUAACCAAGACCAAGUCAGCAGUCACAUCCAGGCUGGUCUCAAACUCAAGAGCCUCCUGCCUCAGCCUUCAAACAAUCACCACGCCCAGCAGAAGGGCCAACACUUUCUGCCUCUAAGAAAAAUUCUAGUGAACUGAAGGAAGUGGAAAUACAGAAUUGAGAAGGCACUGACAUGGAACUCAUAGGGACACCUAAAGGCAUUGAUUUAAAGGAGGAAGUUGAGAGGAAGGAAUUCUGGGAAGAGUCGUGGGGAAAGGACUGAAGAAGCUGUUCGGGACAUUUGAAGCACACGCCAACCAGAGAGCACUGUGGGAGGCCGCAGCCAAAGGCUCACGGGAGGUAGGGGCUGUGAUGUUUUAGUGGAUCCGUUGUCAAACCCAGGGCUGGAACUCAUCCUAUGACAAAACUUAUGUCAAGAGACAAGGGCUGGGGAGAAAGAAGGGCUUUAUUCAGUGGCCAAGGAAUGGAGAAUAGGGAGAUUUGCUCAAAAAUCAGGUUCUCAGCUCCAGGGAGAUAUGGGAUUUGAGGGUGAGAGAUGGGUUAAUAAAUAGGAGAAAUCUUUGUGUCUUUGCUGGGAAUCCGCAGAGAUCUUGCAGAAACUCGGUACCACAUCUUUC
ensembl:lncRNA